AACAUCGCGCACCUGCGGGAACCUGCGGAGGGAUCAUUAUCGAAACCUUCAAAACUUGGGUAUGCUUGGCCUGGCCUUUUGGCCGUAAGAGCCGGCUCCCAGUCAUCCCCCUUCACACCUUGCUCACCUUCAGAGGGGAAAAAGGAGGGGAGGGUUGUUUGCCCUUUCCCCCUUGACCCCCCUUUUUUUUACACAAAAAAAGCACCUUGUUGUCACAGAAUGUUUUGUGUAUUUGACAAA
rnacentral:misc_RNA from 1 species